UUGUUGGCUAUUACAUAUUGUUUUUAUUUAAUGGCGACCGGUAUUAUACCGAUUAUGAGAUUUUGAAAUUAAAUUCUGUUACAUAAUGAAUGGUUAUGUAAGGAAGCUGUGAACCAGAAGUUUUUCAUCUUUUCUCAAGCGCUUUUAAGUGGAGGGAUUCACGAUGAUUAUUUCUUCAAACUACGUUAAUUGAUUUUACGAGAUUCCCAACGGAGGCCACCCUUCCUGGGAUUGGUGGAUGGUCGAUCAUGAUUGGUCGGAGGAGUUGUGGGAAUCUCCGUUCUGUUCUGCGUCAGGAGGGUGGUUCAGUCACGCAGGGUUCUCCGUCGUCUCUGCUUCGUGGGUAGUCUUUGUUAGAGAACGUGGGUGACAAGUGCCAAUACCAUCUCAGUAGAAUUGGACAAGAUUCGUUCCCCCCAUAUGUUGGUGUAAAGGGAAAAAAUAUGGUGCUGGCUUAUGCUUCCCCAAUCCCCUUCUGAGCUUCGAAAGGAUUUCGAGACUGGGUGGAGCCUCCGUUCCCUACCACUUUGCAUCCACUGGUUAAGAAGGCAAAGGGUAGGCAGUCCUUCGGCAACAGCUGAAGGAAAGGGAAUCCUAACUCCUAUGAAACAUUGCGAAUGAAAAUUAUUAACAGUUCCUAAUUUUUAAUCUGUUAAUAUCACACAUCUUAUUUGUACUCUAAAUUUUAUUCUAAUCCGGGUGUUCUUAAUUCCUAAGUUUUUAAAUUCUAAUUUGAAGAAUAACAUAAUCGACGUGUGUGUGAAAUUGUUGUUCAACUGAAAUUACAAGGAUUGCAUCUUUGAUA
rnacentral:lncRNA from 1 species